CCUACGGGAGGCAGCAGUGGGGAAUCUUGCGCAAUGGGCGAAAGCCUGACGCAGCAACGCCGCGUGCGGGAUGAAGGCCUUCGGGUUGUAAACCGCUUUCAGCAGGGAAGAAAUUGACGGUACCUGCAGAAGAAGCCCCGGCCAACUACGUGCCAGCAGCCGCGGUAACACGUAGGGGGCGAGCGUUGUCCGGAUUUAUUGGGCGUAAAGAGCUCGUAGGCGGUUCGGUAAGUCGGGUGUGAAACCUCCAGGCUCAACCUGGAGACGCCACCUGAUACUGCUGUGACUAGAGUCCGGUAGGGGAGUGUGGAACUCCUGGUGUAGCGGUGAAAUGCGCAGAUAUCAGGAAGAACACCAGCGGCGAAGGCGGCACUCUGGGCCGGUACUGACGCUGAGGAGCGAAAGCGUGGGUAGCAAACGAGGAUUAGAUACCCUGGUAGUCCACGCCGUAAACGUUGGGCACUAGGUGUGGGUCUCAACCAACGAGAUCCGUGCCGCAGCUAACGCAUUAAGUGCCCCGCCUGGGGAGUACGGGCCGCAAGGCUAAAACUUAAAGGAAUUGACGG
rnacentral:rRNA from 1 species